rnacentral:rRNA from 1 species
UACGUAGGGCGCAAGCGUUGUCCGGAAUCAUUGGGCGUAAAGAGCUCGUAGGCGGCCUGUUGCGUCCGCUGUGAAAUCCCGGGGCUUAACCCCGGGCUUGCAGUGGAUACGGGCAGGCUGGAGGCAGGCAGGGGAGAACGGAAUUCCCGGUGUAGCGGUGAAAUGCGCAGAUAUCGGGAGGAACACCGGUGGCGAAGGCGGCCCGCUGGACAGCGCCUGACGCUGAGGAGCGAAAGCUAGGGAGCAAA